UACGGAGGGUGCAAACGUUGCUCGGAAUCAUUGGGCGUAAAGCGCACGUAGGCGGUCCAGCAAGUCGGGUGUGAAAGCCCUCGGCUUAACCGGGGAAGUGCAUUCGAAACUACUGGACUUGAGUACUGAAGAGGAUCGCGGAAUUCCCGGUGUAGAGGUGAAAUUCGUAGAUAUCGGGAGGAACACCAGUUGCGAAGGCGGCGAUCUGGGCAGAUACUGACGCUGAGGUGCGAAAGCGUGGGGAGCAAACAGG
rnacentral:rRNA from 1 species